rnacentral:rRNA from 1 species
GACGGAGGAUGCAAGCGUUAUCCGGAAUGAUUGGGCGUAAAGCGUCCGCAGGUGGCAGUUCAAGUCUGCUGUCAAAGACCGGGGCUUAACUUCGGAAAGGCAGUGGAAACUGAACAGCUAGAGUAUGGUAGGGGCAGAGGGAAUUCCUGGUGUAGCGGUGAAAUGCGUAGAGAUCAGGAAGAACAUCGGUGGCGAAGGCGGCUCUCUGGGCCUGUCCUGACGCUCAGGCGCGAAAGCUAGGGGAGCAAACAGG